GAAAAAAAACUAUUUUAGUUCUAGUUCUAGCUAACCCUCAUAGACAGUAUUUGGCAGCAACAAACCUUCUGGCAUAUUUCUCAACAAAAACACAACAGACCAGUUUGUCAAGUGAUCACACUCACACCCAGUCAGUUUCCUUACAGCAAACCCCUGAAGCCAACAGGCAGGAGAAACUGAAGGACAGGCAUAUGUUGUCCUGGAUGUAUUUAUCUGUCAGAGUUUGGUAGUGAUGCACUGCUGUCGAACUGAGCGCAGUUUCAUAACUGUUUUAAGAGCGACUGCAAACCCGGAAAUGGAGUGAAGUGUGAUGGCAAGGAGAGGAGGGGGGACGACCUCACGCGCGCGCUAGAGAGAGGCGCAGAGACUCGAACUUCUGACAGACCGCUACACACAAGCCGCUCUGAACUCAGCAGGAACUUUUAGUCCCACCGGAGCUCAACCUUUCGGAUAAGAUGAUCCCAGCGCUCCGAUCUCCGUCCGCGCGCGUCCAUCAGUGCUGACAGGACACGAGCCGAGCCGAGGGCGCGCGGAAAGAGCCGAACUUCUUUAGGAAGACGAUUCGACUUGAGACGAUGCGCCAACCUGCGGGAAUGGACUACUGAAGAAGAAGAAAAAAAAGCAGACGAAGAAAAGUUCCAAAAGGAGUAAGACGCGCCGUUUUUACGCACAGAAACGCCAGGAUGACCGUGAAGCUGGACUUUGAGGAGUGUUUGAAAGACUCUCCACGCUUCAGAGCUGCCAUCGAAGACGUCCAAACCGACGUGAGUGAACUCGAGACUCGACUAGACAAGCUUGUGAAACAAUGCCAGGCCAUGCUGGACGCGGGCCGGGCCUAUUGUCAGACCAGCAAGAGCUUUUUCAACGGCCUUCGGGAACUGGGACACCAGUGUUCCAGGGACACGAUGAUGGAGGAAUGCUUGGGCACAUUUUCCACAAAGUUGUCAGUCAUCCUGGAGGCUCAGGGGGAAAUGAUCGAGACCACACAGAAGUCGGUGAAGACAAAGCUGCAGAACUUUGUGAAGGAAGAUGUUCGUCGUUUCACGGAAGUGCGCAAAAAGUUUGAGCGCAGCAGUGAGGCCCUGGAGGGGGCGCUGGCGAGGAACGCUCAGGCUCCACGAGGGAAGCAGCAUGAGGUGGAGGAGGCGAGUAACGCUCUGUUAAAUGCUCGGCGGGGCUUUCGAUGCGAGGCUUUGGAUUACGUUCUCCAGAUAAACGUCAUUGAAGCCAAGAAGAAAACGGAUAUUGUGAUGGCUAUGCUGCUGCUGAUGGAAGCCCAAGCCCAGUUUUUCCAACAAAGCCACGAGUCUCUUUCCGAGCUCGAUGAAUAUCGACAGAAACUGAAUGCAGAGCACACCCAGUUUGUUCUGGACUCUGCCAGGGAAAAGAGAGACAUGGAGCAAAGACACGCGGCAGUCAAGAAGAAGGAUGUGUCUUAUGAUGACUCCAUUAUGGACUUUAAUGCUGACUCUACUAAUGGAAUUGCAAUGGAGGGCUACUUAUACAAGAGAGCCAGCAAUGCCUUUAAGACCUGGAGCAGACGUUGGUUUUCGAUUCAGAAAAACCAGCUGGUGUAUCAGAAGAAAUUCAAGGAGCAGCCCACGGUUGUGGUGGAGGACCUGCGUCUGUGCACAGUCAAGACCAGCUCUGAAAACGAGCGAAGGUUCUGCUUUGAAGUGGUGUCCCCUUCAAAAUGCUGCCUGCUGCAAGCGGACUCAGAAAGGCAGCAGCAAGGAUGGAUCAGCGCCGUCCAGAACAGCAUCGCCUCAGCUUUCCAAGAGCGCCGGGAGGACACGCAGAGCCCGAGACAGCGCUGCAGUUCCAUGUCGCAGAGCAUCAUGCGGGCCGGAGGGAGCGGAGGAUGCGUGGAUCAGGAGAACAACGACUGCAAGGCGCUGGAGGACAUCCAGGCGAUCCCGGGGAACCGGCAGUGCUGUGACUGCGGGGAGCCCAGCCCCGAUUGGGCCUCCAUCAACCUGGGCAUCACGCUGUGUAUUGUCUGCUCUGGAAUACACAGGAGCCUGGGAGUUCAUUUUUCCAAAGUGCGCUCACUCACACUCGACUCCUGGGAGCCAGAGCUCAUUAAGUUGAUGUGCGAGUUGGGCAAUAACGUGAUCAAUCGAAUCUAUGAGGCACGCAUUGACGAGAUCACCAUCAAGAAGCCCAAUCCUGCCAGUCCAAGGGGGGACAAGGAAUCGUGGAUUCGAUCAAAAUAUGUUGAAAAGAAGUUUAUUCACAAACUGCCGGAGACUGGAAGGAAUCCUCAGUUGAGCCGGUCGAAUAACAGAGCGACCUCGCUGAUGCAAAAACCGCCUCUCAAGCCCAAACCGAGCCGAUCGCUGCUGCCUCGCAUCACAGGACUGAGCACCAGUGAUACUAACCAAAAGAACAGUUCAGACUUCAAUAAAGACGAGGAGGAGGAAGAUCUCAGUGGGCUCCAUCCCGGAGCGCUGCUGUACCGCUCGGCCGCGCUGCAGAACUUCCCCCUCAUGGCUGACGCCCUAGCCCACGGAGCUGACGUCAACUGGGUCAAUCUGUCCGAGGACUCCAGCACGCCAAUGAUACAAGCUGUGUUGGUGAACGCCCUUGCAGCCUGCGAGUUCCUGCUGCAGAAUGGAGCCAACGUCAAUCAGGCUGACAGCAACGGGAGGGGACCCCUGCACCACGCCACUAUCCUGGGUCACACAGGACUGGUUUGUCUCUUUUUGAAGCGAGGCGCCGACUACAACGCCCGGGAUAAGAGCCAAAAAGACCCCUUAACUAUCGCUGUGGAGAAUGCAAAUGCAGACAUCGUGACUCUAUUGCGGAUCACCAAAAUGAACAAGGAGAUGCGGGAGAUGGAUGGAGCAUUCGGCCAAUCAGGUCAUUGUGAGGAGCAGGGUUCGGGGGAUACACUGGGCAGGACGGGGCGUUCGCUGGUUCACCCCCGAAAGGGCCUCCGUGCUUUAAAGAACCACAUAAGUAGCUGGAAUAUGGGGGGUACACAUGACUAAAAGGGCUUAGAUGACUGGCUAAAACACAAACCAACAUAAGGAAAAACUUAAGUUUUGUAAUUGUGAAUAAAGAAAAAGGUAGAAAAUAAGGUACUACAACAAAACAGCAAAUUGGAGCUUAAUUUAUUAAAUCUUAAGCACUUUGCAUUAUUAUUCAUUCUCCGGCACUUUAAAAACCAAAAAGCAUAUCCAGAACAUAAAUGUGCUGUCAUUGUGCUGCUGCUGUCUGAAAUAAAGCAGGCCUAUCUCUAGUAAUAUUUUGGAUAUUUUUAUAUCCAGUAUGUAGUGUAUUGACACUAAGAUAGGUACUGGACCUUCAUCCAGUCCUGCAAGUCAAAUUUAGCUUUGAUUUUAGUUCUUAAGAACAAUUUCCUGCCUCUAUUCUGUGAAUAGUGACUCACUUGGAGUUCUUCACGCUGGUCGAUAUGACUCUCAUUGAAGAGAACUUGAUGCUGUCAGCUGGAGCCCUUAUGUCUGUGCUGUCUUGGUAUUACGAACAGCAGGGUUUUUUUUUCUUUGCAUUUUGUUCUUCUUAUGGAGAGAAAAUAGACUCACUGGAUUUGUGUGUGUGUGUGAGUAAGACACUUGAUUUGUAACUUGUGUCUGCCUGUUUUUUUGUAACUUUGGAUUUGUGUGUGCUUAAUUCUUGGUUUGUAACUCAUUUAUGCGUAACUGUGUGUAUUUGCAUGAUUAGUCAAAAAUACAAAAUACAAUUUACUCACGCUUUAAAUUACAGCAGCUUAAAACUAAUUUCGAAACAACCCCCAUGCUAACAAAUGAUUAAAAAGUAAACACCCAUUUCCCAAUACACACAAAAAACUGUAAUUACACACAGAUCAAAGUUACAAAUGCACAAGGAGAGUUUCACAUCUCAAGAUUUGUGCAUAGACGAUGUGUUUAAAUGCUGCUAGAAUGCUGGGUCAUCAGCUUUCUAUUAGUCGCUUCGAAAUUAAAUGAUUAACAAUGAAAAAAGAAUCUAAAGAAAUAUUUUUUGAUAAAUGUAUUAAUAUUUGUCUAAUGACCCAGCAUUCUAGCAGCAUUUAAAUGCAUCUUCUACUUACAAAUCUGGUGAUGUGGAAAAAGUCUCAACCCCUUGAAACACUGAUUUGUGCAUAAAUGUGGUUUUCUGUGCGUAUCAGGCGAUUGGUGUGUACUACUUAAACAUUUAUAUUGUUAGGAGCCGUUUUGAUUCAGUAGUUAGUGUUAAGCUGCUGUAAUUUCAAGUUAUGUGCGCGUAAAGUAUAUUUUCUGUUUGUAUCUUUUUGAUAUUCCAGUGUACAUGUAAAUACACAAUUGCAAUUGGACACAAAAUGUAGUUACAAAUCAAGUAUUAUGUACACACAAAUCCAAAGUUACUCACAAACAAACAGGGAGACACAAGUUAUAAGUGAAGAACUAUGCGCACACAGAUCCAGUGAGACUAUUUUCUUUCCAUACCAUACAGCUCUUUUUCUGAGCUUGAAAGUCUGUUCUUUUCGUGAUUGUGCUCGGGGGUUCUGGAAGUCUGAGGGUUUCAGACAUGAAGGAGUAGAAAUUUGUGACGUGUUUGUCUGCUUGAAUUGGCUGCCGGUCAGUACUUGCCAUGACGUGCGUUUUUGUUGUGUCCUUUUUUUUUGUUUGUGUGUUUGUUUUCGUUGGCUCUCACGUGUGUCUUUGCCAUCUGCCCGCUGAGAUGUCCAUCUGGUCUCAAAUGCUUGCGCAGUGUGCCACCUGCAGCAAAUUAAGAGGUGAUGAAACCUACCAGGACAUUUUCAGAGACUUUUCACAUAUGGCCUCAAACAAUCCCGAGAAGCUGAGACGCCGCAGCAUGGACCCCAAAUCCUAACCAGCAGAGGGGCCUUCCCCGUCCGUCGCACCUCGACUCCACAUGUUUUCACGCUGGAACAGAAGCGUUUCAGCUCUCAGGCAUGCAGACACGCGCUCCUCCUGGCUGCCCGCCAUUCGUUCAGUCACAGCUCAGCUGGUGCUGCCUGGAGAGCCCCCACACAGGGAAUUCUCUGUGUGAGCAUUGUGUCUCACUGAACCAGCUUUACGAGGCCAGUAUGAGGUGUGAAGAGCCCAACAUCGCUAUGCCAAAUACAACCUGUAAAUCCUUUUUUUUUUAUUCAAAAAAAGAUAUUUUUAUGACAUUUUGCUUUCUAAACUGAGUUUAUAAACACAAAUCCAUUUGAUAAAAAAACAGUAAAAGUUGUGAAAAAUUUAAAUUUAUUCUUUCUCUGUGAAUUGUUUGCAAAUUUCUACAUUCCAGACAGUGUUUCUGUUCACAUUUAUAAAGAUACUUAAAAUCUGUGCUAUGAAAAAUAAACCACAAUGGAAACAUUUUAA